AUCAUAGUGGGGGGUCCCUCAGGGUAUUUUGAGCAUCAACAACUUAAUUUCCUGCAUUCUGACACUUUUAUGCACCAAUUUACAGUGGAAAUCCUUUUAUUUAGCCGAUGUGAAGAUGAAAAACACAGAUGGCAAUUCAAAAUAUAUCAAAAUUAUAACAGAAAGUGUGUUGUUGCGUGUCACUGGCUAUUUUUAAGUGAGUAUAUGGAAAUCCUGGAGCUUUCUUAGCGGAUAUACUGCGUAUACCUGCAGAGCACGUAGA